rnacentral:rRNA from 1 species
CGGUGGAGGCAUGUGGUUUAAUUCGACGCAACGCGAAGAACCUUACCUGGCUUGACAUCCCGAUCGCACCUUAUGGAAACAUAGGGGUCAGUUUGGCUGGAUCGGUGACAGGUGCUGCAUGGCUGUCGUCAGCUCGUGUCGUGAGAUGUUGGGUUAAGUCCCGCAACGAGCGCAACCCUUGUCCUUAGUUGCCAGCAUUCAGUUGGGCACUCUAAGGAGACUGCCGGUGUCAAACCGGAGGAAGGUGGGGAUGACGUCAAGUCCUCAUGGCCCUUAUGUCCAGGGCUACACACGUGCUACAAUGGCCGGUACAGACGGACGCAAAGCCGCGAGGUGGAGCAAAUCCUAAAAAGCCGGUCUCAGUUCGGAUUGCAGGCUGCAAUUCGCCUGCAUGAAGUCGGAAUCGCUAGUAAUCGCAGGUCAGCAUACUGCGGUGAAUACGUUCCCGGGCCUU